rnacentral:misc_RNA from 1 species
GGAAGGAUCAUUCACACGUUUUAUUCCAACGUACCCACCCACCGCGCAUUCGUUUUCAACUCUCUCCCGCCGACCUACAUGUAUUAGAGAUGCAAUCAUCUGCAUCUCCCCAUCUGAAUCUUUGAUCUGAGAUGAAGUGAGACAACCCCCUGAAUUUAAGCAUAUUAAUAAGGGGAGGAAAAGAAACUAACAAGGAUUCCCUUAGUAACGGCGAGUGAAGCGGGAAGAGCUCAAUUUGAAAAUCGAUCACCCACACGGGUCAUCGAAUUGUAGCCUAUAGACGUACUAUCAGCUGGAACCUGGGUAUAAGUUCUUUGGAAUGAGGCAUCAUAGAGGGUGAGAAUCCCGUCGAUGACCCAAAGCUUUCAGCGUACGAUGUAUGUUCAUCGAGUCGAGUUGUUUGGGAUUGCAGCUCUAAAUGGGUGGUAAGUUUCAUCUAAAGCUAAAUAUUGGCGAGAGACCGAUAGCGAACAAGUACCGUGAGGGAAAGAUGAAAAGAACUUUGAAAAGAGAGUUAAAAGUACUUGAAAUUGCUAAGAGGGAAGCGCUGACAACCAGUGAUAUGCUGUCGCAAACGCUCUCCACCCUUUGUAGGUCGCGUCCGUCGUUGGUAACUCGACGUGCGUGCUCGAAGGGGAGGUGGGGGGUUUCCUGCGGCGGUGUCAGUCAAGAUCCAUUCGGCUUCUGUGUGGGAGAAGGUAGUGAGAAAGGUAGGAGGUUCGCCUCUGUUAAGUCUCGUUACUCUACCAUGCGCUGGAUGGAGGAAGGAAUGGUGCGCCGCUUGCGGCUUGGCCCCGCGUCCCUGCAUUUUUUCUGGGUCGUUUCGAGCAAUGCUCGCGCGAUCGAGAGCGAGUGUACUGGGCGUGGCGGCUCGAUGUGCCAUCACGAUCUUGUACGAAAUGGUUGUCAUCGACCCGUCUUGAAACACGGACCAAGGAGUCUAACAUCUAUGCGAGUAUUUGGGUGCCAAACCCUGAUGCGCAAUGAAAGUAAAGGCAGGCUCUGUCCUGCUGAGGUAGGAAUCCGGCAACGGAGGCACUAUCGACCGAUCAUCACUUGUGAAAGAUUUGAGUAAGAGCAUAUCUGUUGGGACCCGAAAGAUGGUGAUCUAUGCCUGAACAGGGUGAAGCCAGGGGAAACUCUGGUGGAGGCUCGUAGCGAUACUGACGUGCAAAUCGUUCGUCUGAUUUGGGUAUAGGGGCGAAAGACUAAUCGAACCAUCUAGUAGCUGGUUCCCUC